GAUGAACGCUGGCGGCGUGCCUAAUACAUGCAAGUCGAGCGAACAGACGAGGAGCUUGCUCCUCGGACGUUAGCGGCGGACGUGUGAGUAACGCGUGUAUAACCUACCUAUAAGACUGGUAUAACUUCGGGAAACCGGAUCUAAUACCGUAUAAUAUAUUGAACCGCAUGGUGCAAUAGUGAAAUACGGUGUUUCUGUCACUUAUAGAUGGAUCCGCGCCGCAUUAGCUAGUUGGUAAGGUAACGGCUUACCAAGGCAACGAUGCGUAGCCGAACUGAGGGGGUGAUCGGCCACACUGGAGGUGAGACACGGUCCAGACUCCUAAGGGAGGCCGCAGUAGGGAAUCUUACGCAAUAGGCGAAAGCUUGACGGAGCAACGGCGCGUGAGUGAUGAAGGUCUUCGGAUCGUAAAACUCUGUUAUUAGGGAAGAACAAAUGUGUAAGUAAAUAUGCACGUCUUGACGGUAACUAAUAAGAAAGCAACGGCUAACUACGUG
rnacentral:rRNA from 1 species